GAUGAACGCUGGCGGCGUGCCUAAUACAUGCAAGUCGAACGCAGUACUUCGGUACUGAGUGGCGAACGGGUGAGUAACACGUAGGUAACCUGCCCAUACGACUGGGAUAACUGCUGGAAACGGUAGCUAAGACCGGAUAGGUAAUAGGAAGGCAUCUUUCUAUUAUUAAAGGUGAGAAACACGUAUGGAUGGACCUGCGGCGCAUUAGCUAGUUGGUGGGGUAACGGCCUACCAAGGCGAUGAUGCGUAGCCGACCUGAGAGGGUGACCGGCCACACUGGGACUGAGACACGGCCCAG
rnacentral:rRNA from 1 species